rnacentral:rRNA from 1 species
GAUCAUGGCUCAGAGUGAACGCUGGCGGCAGGCCUAAUACAUGCAAGUCGAACGGCAGCACAGUGGAGCUUGCUCCAUGGGUGGCGAGUGGCGGACGGGUGAGGAAUACAUGGGAAUCUGCCCAGUCGUGGGGGAUAACGUACGGAAACGUACGCUAAUACCGCAUGCGCCCUUCGGGGAAAGUCGGGGACCGCAAGGCCUGACGCGAUUGGAUGAGCCCAUGUUCGAUUAGCUAGUUGGCGGGGUAACGGCCCACCAAGGCGACGAUCGGAUAGCUGGUCUGAGAGGAUGAUCAGCCACACUGGAACUGAGACACGGUCCAGACUCCUACGGGAGGCAGCAGUAGGGAAUAUUGGACAAUGGGCGCAAGCCUGAUCCAGCCAUGCCGCGUGAGUGAAGAAGGCCCCUCGGGUUGUAAAGCUCUUUUGUUGGGGAAGAAAAGCAGUUGGUUAAUACCCGAUUGUUCUGACGGUACCCAAAGGAAUAAGCACCGGCUAACUUCGUG